rnacentral:rRNA from 1 species
UACGAAGGGGGCUAGCGUUGUUCGGAAUUACUGGGCGUAAAGCGCACGUAGGCGGACAUUUAAGUCAGGGGUGAAAUCCCAGAGCUCAACUCUGGAACUGCCUUUGAUACUGGGUGUCUUGAGUAUGGAAGAGGUGAGUGGAAUUCCGAGUGUAGAGGUGAAAUUCGUAGAUAUUCGGAGGAACACCAGUGGCGAAGGCGGCGUUCUGGACCAUUACUGACACUGAACCGCGAAAGCUAGGGGAGCAAACGGG